CUGUUAAUAAAGAUCACGUGAUGUCGCGCUGAGCUCGAGGCCAUUCGAUCCACCUGUCGCGCGCUCUGACGCGCUUCUCCAUUGCAAACAUUUCUUAUAAAUUCUUCUUUUCUCUGAUAAAGAGCAUUGCACGGUCAAUUCCUCGAUGCUCCCGUGAUCCGACUGGCGAGGAAUGAGAUGCUUUUGGGCGUUUUUCUCCUGCUUUUUAUUUCGCGCUUCCUGUGGAACUCAGGAAUUGGACGGACAAUCCCAAAGCGGAAAUCCUGCAAGUGUUUGGAGCUGAUAAACCUCUCUGGCCUGCACAAACACCCCCUCGUGAUCCUCAAGUCCCUCUACGGGUAAUCACGUCUCUACCGGACCACAAACACACUGAUGAUCUGGAGAAACAGCGCGACUAAACCACAUCAUUCCAAAAGUCAGUCGUACCAGUCUGGAAGGACACGAGGGUUUAAUCGGUUUGUGAUGUGUGCUUGAAAAAGCAGUUUGAUCCACAUUAUUCUUGUGGAGUAAGUGUGUGUAAGAAAAUGAAAGAGCCUGAUUCUGAAUCUAAUAGUCCAAAUAAGUGGAGGAAAAGACUCUGCACAGUGUUUCCUGUGAAUCAGGAAGCAGGAAGUGUGUGGAAGAGGAAGAUUGUGCUUUGGGUCACAGUGGACAAUGAGAGUAAGAGCUUAAAGGAAAGAGGCCUGCGUCAGUGUGAGAGCAGCGGAUGGGGAUUCAGAGAGUGAGAGCUGAAGAGAACGAGAGAAGGCAAGAUGGUCUCUCAUGGCUUCACUGUUCA